UUGAAACUCUGCAGCGAAUUUCUGGGGAUUGGUGUCGGUGGGUGAAAAUCUACAGAACAGGGAUUUAUUCUUUGAUCGUCAGAGAUCCACUGAUUUAGCCGCAGGGCCUAGCAAAAUGCAUGAACAUAUCUGAAGAUGUUUCCAACAUUAUUGCAAACUACUGAACACAAUAGGCAAGGAGAAUGCGGUUGAGAAGGAUAACAAAUUAGCCACGAUAGAAUGGCGGGGGAAACUCGAUGAAGCAAAUGGCCUAGUUCUGCUCCUGUGUCUUUUGGUCUUGUGAACAUAUUCCAUCUAACAUAAAAUAGUAUGUCGUUCUAGACGCAUGUAUAAUAUGCGUUACAUACAUGUGCAGCCGCUCAUCCUCCGUCCAUGACUGGCCUUCUUUCAUCGUAUUUGUGGCCAUAACGCUGUAAUUUUAUGUGGUUAAAGGAGACUAACAAAUUACAUUUACUGUAUGUUGGUCUCCAAUGCCAUUGACAAUGCUCUGGACUUUGUAAUAACAUUUAUUAUAUACAGCAUAGAUCUGAAUCUGAACACGGUGUGAAUUAUCCGUGGUUAUUUGUUUCAACGGAAAGUGACAGUGUUCUGCUGCAUGACAAAUGUGAUUCAGAGAGCUUUAGGAUCUCACCUCGCAUUGUGUCUGCUUGGGGGAAAAAGCGUUUAGUUUGUAACUCAUUCCAAACAUAAUAUAUUGUUAAGGGACAUGUGUGCGGCACAAUCCCACUGUCCCCGGACAAUACGAUCAGAUUUUUGACCAUGGUACUUAACUAUUUUGCUUCAUGAAACAGAAAUGACGUCCAAAUCCGAUGAAAGAAGGCCAAAACUGGACGGAGGGUGGGCGGCUGCACACACUUACUGUACGUGCUUAACAUGUUCCUGGGAGAACUAUAAAGAACUAACAG